rnacentral:rRNA from 1 species
UGAAUACGAGACGCUAAGGCGUCGAAGUAGUGUAUGUCAUACUUCCAAGAAAAGCUUGCACUGUCAUAGAUAAAAAACGCCUGUACCAUAACCGACACAGGUGGGUAGGUAGAGUAUACUAAGGGGCGCGAGAUAACUCUCUCUAAGGAACUCGGCAAAAUAACUCCGUAACUUCGGGAGAAGGAGUGCCUUAUUCUUAAGGUUGCAAUAACAAGAUCCAAGCAACUGUUUAUCAAAAACACAGGUCUCCGCUAAGUCGUAAGACGAUGUAUGGGGGCUGACGCCUGCCCAGUGCCAGAAGGUUAAAGAAGCUGGUUAGCAUUUGCGAAGCUAGUAACUGAAGCCCUGGUGAACGGCGGCCGUAACUAUAACGGUCCUAAGGUAGCGAAAUUCCUUGUCGGGUAAGUUCCGACCCGCACGAAAGGCGUAAUGAUUUGGAUACUGUCUCGGAGAGGGGCUCGGUGAAAUAGACUUGUCUGUGAAGAUGCGGACUACCUGCACCAGGACAGAAAGACCCUAUGAGGCUUUACUGUAACUUGAAAUUGAAGUUGGACUUUAUUCGCGCAGUAUAGGUGGGAGGCGUUGAUUAUAAUCUUGCGGGAUUAUUGGAGCCAUUAGUGAGAUACCACUCUUGUAAUGUUAGAUUUCUAACUUUGAAUCAUUAUCUGGUCAAAGAACAGUUUCAGGCGGGCAGUUUGACUGGGGCGGUCGCCUCCUAAACGGUAACGGAGGCGUACAAAGGUUUCCUCUGAACGGUUAGAAAUCGUAUCUAGAGUGUAAAGGCAUAAGGAAGCUUGACUGUGAGACCUACAAGUCGAGCAGGGACGAAAGUCGGUCUUAGUGAUCUGACGGUACUGAGUGGAAAGGCCGUCACUCAACGGAUAAAAGUUACUCUAAGGAUAACAGGCUGAUCUCCCCCAAGAGUUCACAUCGACGGGGAGGUUUGGCACCUCGAUGUCGGCUCAUCGCGUCCUGGGGCGGUAGUACGUCCCAAGGGUUGGGCUGUUCGCCCAUGAAAGCGGUACGCGAGCUGGGUUCAGAACGUCGUGAGACAGUUCGGUCCAUAUCCGGUGUAGGCGUUAGAAUAUUGAGAGGAGCCUUCUUUAGUACGAGAGGACCGAGAAGGACAUACCUCUGGUGUACCAGUUAUCGUGCCAACGGUAAACGCUGGGUAGCUAUGUAUGGAGUGGAUAACCGCUGAAAGCAUCUAAGUGGGAAGCCCACCUCAAGAUAAGUAUUCUCAUC